UCGAUUUGGGGGCCGCCUCUUCCGUGCGGGUCCCGAUCACGUCUCCGGCUAAGUUCUUAGCCAGGUUCUGGUCUAGUGAAUCUAUAUCGAAUUGGAGAUACUCGGCCGGUUUACCUAAACCAAACGGAUCAAACCCGUAAUCUCCAACCAACGAACCGUCGAGCCAGUCAGGAGAUUUGGCGCCUGGGAACCAGAGAGGCCGGUCCGAAGUCACCUUCUUGGGCGCGGUCUUUUUGGGAGCUUUCUUUCCGAACCCAAACCGGGCUGUAAACCGACCAGAACCGGAAUGGAUACCGGGAGCCACCCGAGUACCCAUGAUGGAAGAAGCAGCGGCAGCGGUUGAAGUUGCGGCCAUCUCGGGCGGUGUGUGUUUUGUUAGAUUUUUUGUGAUUUCAGGAGAUGGAAGGAACUUGUGUUUCUUUAAUCCGAGAUUAUAGAUGCCAUGAGGAUAGACGAUUUUUCUUUCGAUCUGGGGUGAUCUUGGAGAGGCGAUCAUUACCGUUGGAUCGAUUGACAAAAUCCAUCUGACGGUGAAAAACA
rnacentral:lncRNA from 1 species